AGGACGCCUACCUCUCCUCUCCGCUCUGAGGAGGGUGGGCAGAUGGGCUGGGAGGGUGGCACAUGCAUUCGCCUGCACGGCUCUGUUUGGGCCAGUGCUUCUCAAACUUCAAUGCCGAUGCUGGCACCCGGCCUGGAUGCAGACCUGGCUCUCUGGGGGUGCCGCACUGUGGCCUGGACCAGGCACUGGUCAGCACAGGUUUGGAGCCAGAAGUGUCUCCAAAUACGCAGGAGCCGUGGAACACCAGGCGCCCUUCAGGAGGUGGGACAGGCCAGACCUGGUGCAGGCGCCACCCCGUUCCUGCUGCUGAUGCCCCUGGCAGGAAGGGAAGGGCUUGGGUCCCUUGUCCUGCUGCAGUUGGUCAGGGGAGCUGGCUGAACUUCAGGACUGGCCAGGGCGUUCUGCUGACCGACAGGCGUUGGUCAGGAGAUCCUGCUGAUUGACAGGUGUUUCCGUGGGUGCCUGCUUGAUGUCCCUUUCCCGGGCGGGCUGCUUUGUUCUAAGUCACCACCACCGACCUGUCAGGUAGCAUGUCUGUGUUCAAGGGCUGCGGGUGGGAGAGACGGUGUUCCCAGGACUCGGGGAAUCCACACAAAGCCUGCAGCGUCCGCUGCCUCUGGGGAGCAGAACCAGGCGUGGAGGAGAUAUUCCCUUUUUCUGAUUUCUUCUUUCAGGCUUUGGAGACUGUACCCAUUUGUGGGCCAGGAAGGAGAUGCCCUGUUUUGGGCCAUGGGUGUAGGGGCUAGUUUGGAGGCCAUGGAGUGCACAGAGGGCCAGGGGCCAGGAGGCUCCUUAAAACAGACCUCGUGGGUGGGGGUGGGGGGCUGGGCUGUGGCUCGGUGGUGGAGGGCUCACCUAGCACGCGGGAGGCGCUGGGUUCGGAGCACCACAUAAAAAUAAACAAAUAAAAUUAUGUACUGUGUCCAACUACAACUAAACAACAACAACAACAAUAAAAACAGAAACAACAACAAAGAAACCAGGCGGUAGAUGCCACUCAGGGCCUGUGGGUGGGAGGUCUGGGCACAGGUGUCUGGGUUUAACGAGCUCCCAGGGGCCUUGACUGAGCCAGGAGCCGGAGGACCCUGAGGAGGACACUCCUCCGCCUCCCCCGUGGCAGGUGGGGCUCACCUGCCCACCUCCCUCAGGGCUAGGGGAGGGGAGCAGGGAGUGGGGCUGGGGCACCUGCAGCCCCAUGCUGGGCCCCACCCCAGCCGCUCACAGCUCAGCUCUGGAUACGGACCCCAUUCCUUCUCCUUCCGGGGGCCAUAACUGCAGUCCCAGGGCUUGGCAUUCCCGGAGCCUGCCCCCUCUCAGCUCUGGGGCCAGCUCAGAGCAAAGCGUGGGCAGCUGGAGUCCCCCGAGGCCCCUGUCCUCGAGAGCAGACGGUCUUGCCUGGGACUCCGCGUCAUCUCCCCUGUGUCUGAUCUUUUAUGAGGAGCCAGUCCUACAGGGUAGGGCCCACCCCCACUCGGUGACCCUUUUCCCAGACAGCCUUGUCCCGAGGUGCUGGUUGCAGGGGACAGGAUUUAGCCCAGAGACUGGAUACAAAGUCCCCUCCUGGGUGCCGAUGGUGCGUGAUUUGUGGUUACUAAGAAUGUGUCUUUUCUUUUCUUUCUGUUUUUCUUUCCAUGGCUCCUGCAUGCCGAGGCUGCAGGCCAGGCCCAGCUGCUCCACACAGACUCCAAGAGCUAAGGGUGUCCAGGCUGCCCACGUGGCCUUGUCUUGUUGGCCUGCUUGUCUGCAGGUUCAAAACUUCAGGUCAAACUUUUUAAACAGCCCUCCAGGGGCCAUCUCACCAGGGCCACUGUGUGUCUGUGCUGUGCUGCAGCCGGGCCUCGCCUCGCUGGUUCAAUAAACCCUGCCAGGCCCCCCACCUGGCAGGGCCAUAGACACCCCUCUCCAUGUCCUGCGUGUGGACUACACAGGACACCUCUGCUCCCUCUACAAGGACACGGUCUCCUUCUUCUGUGUUCCUGACCUUUAGACUGAAGCUCAGCACAUAGUAGGUACUCAAUAAAUGCAUUGAAUGCACA